rnacentral:lncRNA from 1 species
AGAAGAAAUUUGCCUGCAGUGGUCCUGUAAUUGAGCAUCCAAAUAUGGAGAAGUCAUUCAGCUACAGGGCGACCAGCGCAAGAACCUAUGCCAGUUCCUGGUAGAGACUGGACUGGCUAAGGACGAUCAGUGCUUGGGUUUUAAGUGCUUGUGGCUCACAGAAGCUUAAGUGAGGAUUUCCUUGCAAUGAAUAGAAUUUCCCAUUUGUCCCUUGUCACAAGUUUAAAAACCUUACAGCUUGUAUAAUGUAACCAUUUGGGAUCCUCUUUUAAUGUGGACUAGUGUAACUCCUUCAUGCAAUAAACUGAAAAGAGCCAUGCUGUCUAGUCUUGAAGUCCCUCAUUUAAACAGAGGUCAAGCAGUAGGUGCCUAGCAGUGCCCACCCUGAAACAAAGCAAUAACCUGGUGUUUCAGCAAAGCCCAGAGUCCCAAGAUCAGAUGGCUGUGACCAGAAGCUUCUCAGCUCUCCCUCUGCUGAGGCCCCUGCCCUAAGAGUGUCAUGACCUGAUCAGAAGGAAUGGGGUAAGGCAGCUGUAAUAUUAGAAGGGGACCUUUGGUAGUUUUUUUUUUUUUUCUUCUUCAUUUUGUUUUUUAAAAAGAAUCCCUGGUGUCUAACCUGACCAGGUGGGUAGAACUCAAGAGGCCACCUUCCUUCCAGUGAGGUGAUGUGACAUCUGGCUUAACACCAAGGUCUUCUUUUUGACUAGACAUAUUUUAGCUAAGGGGUGUCCAAAACAACAGAAUGUGAGGCCAGCUUAAUAUCAGUUAAACUUUUGACAUGGGGACAAAUACCAAAGUGAUGUUAUCAGUCCUGUAGCUAGCUGCAGAGCUUGCGACUCACUAGCCACAGCUGCCUAGUGCCAUGUGAAGUGAUAAACUGGUUUUUGGUUUUCUUUUUCCCUUCCAGUUUUAAUAUUAUGUAAUGUAUUUAAACCCUUAUUUAAAUAAAACUUGUUUUCAGAAAUAAUAAAAAAAAGAAUGGAUUUUAAUUACUAUAAUUCU